rnacentral:rRNA from 1 species
UACGUAGGGUGCAAGCGUUAAUCGGAAUUACUGGGCGUAAAGCGUGCGCAGGCGGUUUUGUAAGUCUGUCGUGGAAAUCCCCGGGCUCAACCUGGGAAUUGCGAUGGAGACUGCAAAGCUGGGAGUCUGGCAGAGGGGGGUAGAAUUCCACGUGUAGCAGUGAAAUGCGUAGAGAUGUGGAGGAACACCGAUGGCGAAGGCAAUCCCCUGGGCCUGCACUGACGCUCAUGCACGAAAGCGUGGGGAGCAAACAGG